GUCAGGGAUGGAUGGCUUGUGAUGGGGGGCAUGGGGCAGAGUGGGCUUCCCCAGGAAUACUUUCCGAGGUCCUAGGAUUCAAAAUGAGUUGGUCAAAAUGGUAACGGGAAUUUGGAGUUCACACACUUCUGCUCUAGAGCCCCAGGGGAGGUUGUACACUUUCACGCUGGACAUGUGAUCAUGAUCAUGGCUGUUGAGGGCAGGUAUGGGUUUGAGUCCCGGCUCUCCUGGUUGCUGAGCUGUGUGAUUUGAGGCACAUUAUUCAACUUUGCAAGCCUCAGCUUCCUCACUUGUUAAAAGGGAGGGAUAAUAAUAGUACUCACCUCAGAAGGCUGUUGUGAGAAUUAAAUAAUUCCUGUAAAGCAGGUAGCAGAGUGCUUGGCACAUAACUCCUUGGCAUCCUGCCCUGUGCUUUUGUCUUUUACUAGGCAUCCAGGAAAAACUGAGCGAGUUCUUGUGAAACUGAAGUACACUGAAGGUGUUUGCUAUUUAAAGGUAUCUUCUGGUGGAUCGUCUUGGAAAACAUGGACCCAAAUCUUGCGAGAGCUAUCAGUGAGUCUCCUCUCCUGCUCUGCAUCUCUCAGGACUGUGUCCCAGCUCCAGAAGAAUGAGCCUGCACAGCUUGGACUGUCACCUCUGGCAGGUUCCUGCUCUUUGAUGAAGCCUCGUCAUAAUUACAGGUGUUUGAAAGUUCCUCCAUUGAUCUUCUCUCUCCUGCUGCCUUGUCAAGAAGGUGCCUGCUUCCCCUUUGCCUUGCACCAUGAUUCUAAGUUUCCUGAGGCCUCCCCAGCCAUGUAAAACUAGCCUUAUCUUCAACAGCUGCUAAAAUUGAAGAACAAAAAGAAUCUUUGAAACUUCCCUUCAACUGGUCAUCCUCUUCCCUUUUUCUCUCCUUUAAACACUGUUCCAAUUCAUUAUGAUGGCCCCAAAGCAAAGACAGACAUGGAAGUGAACAUUGGAGUGGAAGGAAUGACGGGGAGCAAAGGUCUGCUUUCUUUCUAUCAUUCUUGUAUCAACUCUAAAUUGAAACCCAAAUCACUGAAAUCUAAAAAAUCACAUGAAAGCAAGUCAAUGACUAAAAGAAAAUGAAAUGAGAGAUCCUAUCAGAGAAAUAUGAAAGGGAAAAUACCACUGAUUAAAUAAGUUAUGGGAAAAAUAAAUCAUUACACCAUUAAAUGUAUACGUCGACAUACUGUAUGUUGUUAUGUGCUUAUUGUCUUUCACCAGUAGAAUGUAAGUCCCAUAAGGGUAAGGACUUUAUAUAUUCUUUUCACAGCAGUGUCUCUAGUGCAUGGAACAGUUCCUAGCACAAAAUAAACAGUUGUUGAAUAAGUGAAUGUAUGAAUGAGUGAUUAAUUAAUGAUUAAAGAUAGAAAGAAGAAAAACAAGAUUGUCCUUAGAGGGAUAAAUUUUAAGUCAACCCAUAUAAUGGAUCAAAUGAAGAUGUGUAGCAUCACCCUAAGAAACCAGAACCUUUAUUAAACCCACAUUAUAUGCCAGACAUGUAGCCAAGUACCUUAUGUACAUUUUUCACACAACUUUGUGACACGCUGUUUUUCAAGUGAAGAAAUGGGCUCAUGGAGGAUAAAUGAUUUGUUAACUUCAUAUAGAUAUUAAGGCGACGGCUCCAGGAUUUUCACACAGCUCUGUUAGACAUUGAAGCCUGUGUUCUUAACAG
rnacentral:lncRNA from 1 species